GUUGUCAGAUUCACUUCAAUCCAUGUGUGUUGGUGUGGAUUGGGGUGAAAUUUAGUUCAAAUUCCACUCCAAUUAACAUAUGUGGAUUGAUGUGAAUCCAACU
rnacentral:pre_miRNA from 1 species